UAGGGAAUCUUCCGCAAUGGACGCAAGUCUGACGGAGCAACGCCGCGUGAGUGAAGAAGGAUUUCGGUUCGUAAAACUCUGUUGUUAGAGAAGAACAGCGCAUAGAGUAACUGUUAUGCGUGUGACGGUAUCUAACCAGAAAGCCACGGCUAACUACGUGCCAGCAGCCGCGGUAAUACGUAGGUGGCAAGCGUUGUCCGGAUUUAUUGGGCGUAAAGCGAGCGCAGGCGGUCAAUUAAGUCUGAUGUGAAAGCCCCCGGCUCAACCGGGGAGGGUCAUUGGAAACUGGUUGACUUGAGUGCAGAAGAGGGGAGUGGAAUUCCAUGUGUAACGGUGAAAUGCGUAGAUAUAUGGAGGAACACCAGUGGAGAAGGCGACUCUCUGGUCUGUAACUGACGCUGAGGCUCGAAAGCGUGGGUAGCAAACAGG
rnacentral:rRNA from 1 species